CUCAGUUUUAGGGUGGAAUCCAGUAACGUCAAUAGACAUAGCCUCAUCCACAACACUCUGAGCAAACAAGACCAGAGGUCGCGCACACAGCAGCACCUUGCGUGUGUGUGGGUGGGGGGUGGCUACAAGCCGUGGUGCAGGGGGGAGGCCUGGCUCUCAGCUCACCUCUGCCAGCUGUGCAAUCCUGGGCACCUUGCUCGCCUUCCCUGAGCCUGUUUCUUCUCCUGUAAAAUGCCAGGCACUGGGCUGGCCUGAGAGCUUCACCCAUGCUCUGCUGCUGCAUCCUUGCCCUCAGUGCCUUGGUUUACCCUCUUCCACGUGGCUCACAGUAGACAUUCCCUUUCUCAGCCCCGGGCCCCCAGCACUGACCUGCCAGAACCACGGCAGUCUGGGUUUGUUCCAGAAACUUCUCAGGAAACCCAAGUUUGAAGGAUGGUGACACAGGGGAGCCAAGGAGAGGGCAGGCCUUUCCUGAGUGCUGAGUCUGCAGGCCCUGCCCAGGAACAGCCCAAUGGGUACAGAUGCUCGCACGACUCAGAGUGCCAGAGCAGCUGCUGCGUCCGCAACAACAGCCCGCAGGAGUUGUGCACGCCCCAAAGCGUCUUCCUGCAGUGUGUGCCCUGGCGCAAGGUGAGCUGCGGGCACCCGGGGCAGAUGGAGCAGGGGUAGCCGGAGACAGCCCCUCUCCACGACUGCUGCCUGGCUGCCUCCCCAGCCCAACGGCGACUUCUGCAGCAGCCAUCAGGAGUGUCACAGCCAGUGCUGCAUCCAGCUGAGGGAGUACAGCCCCUUCCGCUGCAUUCCCCGGACCGGGAUCCUGGCCCAGUGCCUGCCCCUGUGAUGUGAGCUCGAACCUGGGCGCGAGGGACCGGCCUGGGCCCUGGGAUGUUCACGCAGGACCGCGUUGCGCGGGGGCUGGUUCCAGCGGAAGCUUCCCUUACGGUUUGUGCUGCUGUUUCUGGGGCUCUGAAAAUCUGUGGGAACUGAAAGGCUGUGACCAGCCUGGUGGCGCGAAGUGUCUGUGAGAACAAAUCCCAGGCACUGGGGUGUAGCCUGAUUGUUAAACAUCAAUAAAGGCUCCUGGCCGACUGAGCAGCCGUGUCUCACCCCUUCUGUGUUUUGAAUAAUAAAAGCAUAAAAUCUG
rnacentral:lncRNA from 1 species